rnacentral:tRNA from 1 species
GGCGGGGUGCCGGAGCGGUCGAACGGGGAGGUCUUGAAAACCUCUGAGCCUUCGGGCUCCGUGAGUUCGAAUCUCACCCCCGCCGCCU